rnacentral:rRNA from 1 species
UACGUAGGGGGCAAGCGUUAUCCGGAUUUACUGGGUGUAAAGGGAGCGUAGACGGCGAUGCAAGUCUGAAGUGAAAGGCGGGGGCCCAACCCCCGGACUGCUUUGGAAACUGUAUGGCUGGAGUGCAGGAGAGGUAAGUGGAAUUCCUAGUGUAGCGGUGAAAUGCGUAGAUAUUGGGAGGAGCACCAGUGGCGAAGGCGGCUUACUGGACUGUAACUGACGUUGAGGCUCGAAAGCGUGGGGAGCAAACAGG